GACGAACGCUGGCGGCGUGCUUAACACAUGCAAGUCGAACGGAAAGGCCCUGCUUUUGUGGGGUGCUCGAGUGGCGAACGGGUGAGUAACACGUGAGUAACCUGCCCUUGACUUUGGGAUAACUUCAGGAAACUGGGGCUAAUACCGGAUAGGAGCUCCUGCUGCAUGGUGGGGGUUGGAAAGUUUCGGCGGUUGGGGAUGGACUCGCGGCUUAUCAGCUUGUUGGUGGGGUAGUGGCUUACCAAGGCUUUGACGGGUAGCCGGCCUGAGAGGGUGACCGGCCACAUUGGGACUGAGAUACGGCCCAGACUCCUACGGGAGGCAGCAGUGGGGAAUAUUGCGCAAUGGGCGGAAGCCUGAUGCAGCAACGCCGCGUGCGGGAUGACGGCCUUCGGGUUGUAAACCGCUUUCGCCUGUGACGAAGCGUGAGUGACGGUAAUGGGUAAAGAAGCACCGGCUAACUACGUGCCAGCAGCCGCGGUGAUACGUAGGGUGCGAGCGUUGUCCGGAUUUAUUGGGCGUAAAGGGCUCGUAGGUGGUUGAUCGCGUCGGAAGUGUAAUCUUGGGGCUUAACCCUGAGCGUGCUUUCGAUACGGGUUGACUUGAGGAAGGUAGGGGAGAAUGGAAUUCCUGGUGGAGCGGUGGAAUGCGCAGAUAUCAGGAGGAACACCAGUGGCGAAGGCGGUUCUCUGGGCCUUUCCUGACGCUGAGGAGCGAAAGCGUGGGGAGCGAACAGGCUUAGAUACCCUGGUAGUCCACGCUGUAAACGGUGGGUACUAGGUGUGGGGUCCAUUCCACGGGUUCCGUGCCGUAGCUAACGCUUUAAGUACCCCGCCUGGGGAGUACGGCCGCAAGGCUAAAACUCAAAGGAAUUGACGGGGCCCCGCACAAGCGGCGGAGCAUGCGGAUUAAUUCGAUGCAACGCGUAGAACCUUACCUGGGUUUGACAUGGAUCGGGAGUGCUCAGAGAUGGGUGUGCCUCUUUUGGGGUCGGUUCACAGGUGGUGCAUGGCUGUCGUCAGCUCGUGUCGUGAGAUGUUGGGUUAAGUCCCGCAACGAGCGCAACCCUUGUUCACUGUUGCCAGCACGUUAUGGUGGGGACUCAGUGGAGACCGCCGGGGCCAACUCGGAGGAAGGUGGGGAUGACGUCAAGUCAUCAUGCCCCUUAUGUCCAGGGCUUCACGCAUGCUACAAUGGCUGGUACAGAGAGUGGCGAGCCUGUGAGGGUGAGCGAAUCUUGGAAAGCCGGUCUCAGUUCGGAUUGGGGUCUGCAACUCGACCUCAUGAAGUCGGAGUCGCUAGUAAUCGCAGAUCAGCAACGCUGCGGUGAAUACGUUCCCGGG
rnacentral:rRNA from 1 species